UAACGCGUGAGGAACCUGCCUUGGAGAGGGGGGAAACAGUUGGAAACGACUGCUAAUACCGCAUAAGCCCACAGCUCGGCAUCGAGCAGAGGGAAAAGGAGUGAUCCGCUUUGAGAUGGCCUCGCGUCCGAUUAGCUAGUUGGUGAGGUAAUGGCCCACCAAGGCGACGAUCGGUAGCCGGACUGAGAGGUUGAACGGCCACAUUGGGACUGAGACACGGCCCAG
rnacentral:rRNA from 1 species